rnacentral:RNase_P_RNA from 1 species
UGGGUCGACCGGGCGAUCGCAAGCGGUUUAGACCGCCUGAGGAAAGUCCGCGCUCCACAGAGCUCGGUGCCGGGUAACGCCCGGGUGGGGAAACCCACGGAAAGGACCACAGAAAAUGACCGCCUGGUCGAUGGGACGUGGCGAAGGCUCCCUUUGUCAUGGACCUCAUUCGAUCAGGUAAGGGUGAAAAGGUGGUGUAAGAGACCACCGGCGUUGGCAGUGAUGUCAGCGGCCAGGCAACCCCCAUCGGGAGCAAGGCCAAGCAGGAGUGAAGUCCGCAUGCGGACGGGAGGUUGCUCGCCUUCCUUGAGCUCCGGGUAGGCCGCAUGAGCCUCACGGUGACGUGUGUGCCGAGAUAGAUGAUCGCUCAGAUCGACCUCUGAGGGAUGAAGGGUAAACUCUGAAAAUACGUCGAACUAGCCUAGCGGUUUGGCAAAGAGUGAGCCCGUAAACCGCAGAUGUCUUUCGGACAGAACGCGGCUUAUAGGUCGAACCACAGU